CAUACCCAUUUAUAUGUUAUAACAUUUAAGAUAGAUCUUCAAUUUCCAUUUCAUGUAAACAAGAUUAGGAAAAAAGAGUGAAGAUCGGUAGCUGUAACAUUGUUUGCAAAAAAAUUAAUAUCUCCUCAUCCGAGCAACGAUAUACAUCGCCAAACAACCCUUUCCAAGAUGACGCUAUUCGCACUCAAUAUUCCCCCAAUCAUGACACAAACUUCCUUUGUCGAUCUCCACCCUCGAACGAUCAUGUAGGCCGACCUACAAUCCUAAACCAACAAAGGAACGACGCUCAUCGUCCUCGAUCAUCAUCAUCAUCGUCGUCGUCGUCCCCCUUCCCCUCUCUCCACUCUCAGGAUGAUCGACAAUAAUCGUCGAUCGGCGUGACGAUCGACAUCCAUAGCCGCGUCGUGGUCGCACUCCGUGUGACACCGCGAAUGUGUUAUUUCCCUUUAAGUCCAACCUCCAUCCGGGUCACGUAUGGAAUACUGGAGAGGCAAGGAGGAAGGGUGGAGAAUAGGUAGUGUGGUCGCGCAUAUCCAGCCUCGUUACGCGGAUGGAUACGUCGACUGGUACAUGGCCGCUAUUAUUUGCGAGAUCGAUAACGGUUACCUGCGGGCGCCACCUGAGGGAAAAAGGGGACAUCAGAUGCAUAUCUGCCCAUUGGACUCAAGGCUUCCAUCACGGAUGCGAUCCUCUAUUCUUUCGUUUUGCUUCUGUCUCUUUUCCCUUGUUUGCUCCUCGUGUUUUCUUUUCUUUCUUCCUUUUUGUGUGUGUCUGUGUGUGUUUGUGUUAGAGAAAUGGUUUUACGGUUGGAUGUCUGUACAGUUAUACGUGUAUGUACAUAAGGCUUGUAUUAUUCAUAUCUAGGAAGGUUGCCAAUAUCUGUUUAAUUUUAUUUAUACAAUAAUAUAAUAUAUAUUGAAGUUGUAAGUUGAACGGAAAUUGUAAUACUUUUAUUAGAAGAUUUAGAUAUAAGUAUAAAUUGUAAAUGCAUGUUGAUGAUUGGGGAGAAGAAUGGUGAGGAAAGAAUGGUUCAGAUUUCUCGUUUUCAUUUUCUUUAUUUAUCAAUAAGAUGCGUUUAAAAAUGUGAAAUGGAGAACGUGUGUUUCGCUGACACACUGAAAAGUACAUUGAUUUCUUCAUAUAUUCAUCAUAUUCUGAAUCUCUUUCAGAUGUUUCUAUUAGUUCUUCAAUCAUCCUCCCCUUUCAAACAAGACGCCCAUAAGGCCCGGCCAUGUAUUACAUUAACAAGACUCGCCUUAUGCUCGACGACAAGCCCGUCUAACGAGCACGGGAGAGCGUGCACCCAAGUCUAAGUACAAGCAGCCAUAAAACGGCCAUCAAAUCGACGUGUCCUGAGAAGGCCGGUAAUAUCGCAUCUACAUGACCGCGUCUACCAUGGGCGGAAGUCAUUAUAAGAACGGCCGUCGUAAAAGUCUUUGGAUCAUUUGUUCCGCGAGAAUCCAACGUUCUUAUGGUCAUCGUCUUCGAGAGAAACACGAUAUCCUGAACCAGAGAUUUAUCAGUUUAAAGUAUAAAGAAUAAUGCUGGGAGCAAAGCUAAAUAAUUGAUAAUUAAGGAAGGAAAAUUAAUAGGAUGGAAAAUUUGAUAUAUCAACACACAAAGUGGGUUUCAAUGGGAAUUGAAAUUAUAAUAAUGGAAAUUGGAGAUUUAUGCUAUUGAGUAGUUAUGAAUAAAGUUAUGGAUACCAGAAUUAACAGAGUGGAAGUUAGUAUUAUGGUAGUAGUAAAGACUUAGAUCUAAUGUCAUUCAGCAGUGAACAAACGAAUGAACAAUAGAAAUUAACAAAAUUGGAAACUUAUGCCACUGUUGUUCAGCAGUAUUGAGGAUGAAUUGGCACUAAAAUUAGUGGAGUGAGGACUGAACACUUAAAGCUAUUCAUCAAUGUUGAGAAGCAAAAUUAUAUUUAUUCAAAAAUGUUGGAAACAAGAUACUAAAAUUAGUAAAAUGGAGAAUGGAGACUUACAUCUAGAGCUGUUCAGUAAUGUUAAGGGCAAUGAAAUUAGCAUGAUAAACUUUGAAAGCUUUUAUGCCAUUCAACAAUGUUGAAAAUGAAGCUAUGGAUACUAAAAUUAACGAGGAUUGAAGAUCUAGAAGAUAGAGCAAUGUUAGAAAUAAGACACCAAAAUUAGCAUAAUGAAAACUUUGGAAACUUAUAACACUGCUAUUUAGCAAUGUUGAAGAUGAAACUAUUAAAAUGAAGCAUCAUAAUUAUUGGAAUAAGGCUUAGGCUUAGAGCUAUUCAUGUUAAGGGCAAUGGAAUCAGAACAGUACAAGUUGGAAAACUUUAAAUUUAAUGCUAUUCAGCAAUGCUAAGAAAGUAAUGCAAAAUAGGAACUUGAGAUCAAAGUUCAGCAGUUGCUAUUCAUAAUAUUGAAGACACGAUUAUGGACAAAGAAAUUAUUGAAUUGAAUAAAACUAUGAAUAAAACUGACAAAGUGAAGACUUAAGAUUUUUAGAUCAAUAUUGUUCACCAGCUGAAAUAUCACAGAUAACAAAAUUUAUAGAUUACAGAUAACGAAGAUUAAACUUCAGACCAAUUCAAUCAAAUGAAUUCUAUUCAAUCCAUAAGCACAAGUUAUGCAAUGCUUUCAAUAAUUAAUUCAUCAUUACAAUAUACCUCAUGCAAAAACUAUCUCAAAGAGAAUUGCUCUACCUUUUUAAGUACAAGUUACUUUCUUACUCAAUCAUUUCCUAAUUCAUUUGAAAAAUAACAUAUAAUUAAUCUAUAUCCUUCUGCACAAACUAUGCUCAAAGACUUUUGCCCCACUUUUUUUAAGCAAUAAGUUCUUACUCAAUCUCUCAAUUAUCUCCUAUAAUUUGAAAGAAUAAUACAAUAUUUUCAAUAGUUAAUUCACCAUCACAAUAUAUCUUAUGCAAAAACUAUCUUAAAAGCCUUAUCUUUUUAAGUUAUUUUCUUACUCAAUCUCUUAAUUAUCAUUUAAAAAAAUACCUUCAAUAAUUAAUCCACUAAUACUCUUAUGCAAAAACUGUCUUAAAAGCUUCCUUAUCUUUUUAAAUACAAAUUACUUUCUUAUUCAAUUAUCUCCUAUAUUAUACUUGAAAAAUAACACGAUACUUUAAAUAAUUAAUCCACCACCAAAAAUACACGCUAUGCAAAAAUUGUAUCAAAGGUCGUUCACCUAUCUUUUUUCCCCCUCGGGAGGCGCAGGAAUCCCUCCCAAGUUCGCUAUAAUGCAGUCAUUUAGAGGGAAGCACGAAGCGAUAAUGCGCGGCGAUAGGGGGCGCAUCUUUGCAAUUUUCCCUUUUGGUAACUGGUUACCGGAGGCCUCGGCCAUUUUUAGAUUCUUAUCCGCGGAAAAAGUUUCUGCUUUGCGAGACGUUCGUUUCCGCCCCCCUUUCUCCCCUCCCCUCCCCAUUGUUGCAUCCUGCCCAAGUUUACCACCACCCACACCACACCUCUUCCAGCCACCAACCUCCACCUCGGCCACCUUUAUUGCCGUUUAUUCGGGACGCUCGUAAAAGUUAAUGCAACUUGGCAAAUUAUUUCUCCUCGAGCCGAGCCAACGUGCUUUAAUGGGACCACGAUAAUGACAGGCGGAUGCUCGUUUAAUAAAAAUGAAUAAGAAAGGCCCUGUUCAACCGUUUGUUCGAUCAAUUUUAAGGAAGGAAACGAAUUUUCGAUACUGAAUAUCGGUUCGUUUUAGAGAUUUGCCGGUGAAAAAUUUUUAAUCCUUACCUUACGAGUAUUUUACAUUAUUUCUCUUCUUUCGAAGAUAAAGACUCGUGUUACAUUAUCGAUGCCUUGUUCCUUCUUGAUCGACGUAGAUGUUGCCAAUUUUAUCGUCUCGAAACAACAAUGGAAGCACAAUGGGAGAAAAUAGUGGGGGAAAGAUAGGAAAGUGUCCGUGUACUUUUCGAGCUGCAACGAACAACUUCGAUUUUUCUUUUUAUAAAUGUUCGUUACAAGAAGAAGUUAGUAGAAAUAGAAAACGAUGUCAUCCUGUUUGAUCUAUGGUUCAGGAAACGAAGGUAUGUGAGUUUCUAUUCACAGCCACGACGGUAGAAAGAUAAAGAAUAAUAUGGAAAAGUGACGGUUGCGGUUGAUCGAAGUCGCGAAUCUUCGGAGAGUAAAAAUUCUUACGUACGAACGAUGACAUUUUCUUUCGUCCGGUUUUUUAAAAUUGAAUAAUAUAAUAGAAACGAAAUUUACAAUUAAUUGGAGACUACUAAUCAAUCUCUUGUCAAUUCCACUUGAACAUCAAAUAUCGAAUUUUCCAAAAUAUUAAUUUCAACUAUUAUUCCAUUCUUUUGAGUAAUCCUCAACGACUUUCCUUCCGCACCGACCGUUAAUACCUCUAAUUUAUCAUUGAAAGCGUACCAUAUAUUACCGGCGGGAUGACAAAUUACACGCAUACAUCACACAAUUUCAUCAAUGCACUACAUCCACGCGAACCACCACCUGACACCGGUGAUCAAUUAAAAAAAUCAACGACCAGGCCACCUCGCAAAUCACCCUUGAUUGCCGUUUCCAACGUCCAAACACCUGACACGGAAAGAAGCCCGAACAAGAAAAAAAAUCCCUUCAAAGAAACCAAUAAACAAACUCCAAUUUUUUUGUCCUCCAUCGCCUCGAAUCUCUCUUGGAUCGAUUAUUCUAAUUUCAUCACGAGCUAUGUAUAAAUUUUUUUGCAUGUUUUUAUUUGCUUAACGCGUUUUUAUUCAUUAAAAUACAAAGAAGUUAACAUCUAUAAAAAAAAUUUAAUAACAAAAAUAGCGCAACAAUAACGAUUAGAAAUCAAGCCAGUAAUUUCAAAUGAAAUCGCUUGUGCGAAUCUCAAAGAAUCUCCCCACAACGUUAAUUUGUCCACGUCAACGGCACGCGAGUCAUUUUUAACGCAUUAAGGACACCCUUUAACAACAACGGAAGGUGUUACGAGCAAAGGAACGAAUGCACGAAGAAGGGGAGUCAUCGGGGAUGGAUUAAAUUCACGCAGCUUUUUUUUCCAUUUAAGCCAACGUCACAUUCCCUUCCGGCCGUAAAUCUUCGGUUGUAAACGUUACGAUAUAGUCGUUUAAAGCGAAACAUAACGCGAUAAUGCACGGCUAUACGGUGCACACGCGUUGCAGUUCGGUCGGUAACCGCCACUUCCUUCGAACAAAUGCAAUUUUCCCGCGCCGACGGAUGAAGACUUUUUAAAUCGCUCUGGAAAACUUCGGGUUCGCGCAAUCAUCGUUUCUUCGAUUUUAUGCGAUUACCGACCGAGCGGAACGGAUAAUCCGUUCCAUAUGGCGACGACCACUUUAUCGCUUUUUAUAUUUAGGGCGAUCAGAGUUUAUUAGAAUUGGGCUUGAUUUCGUGGAGCAUCGUGUUGAGAUAGAAAAAGGAACAACUGAUCUUAACUUCGAAUUGGAAUUCAAGGAAGAAAACAUUGCAAAAAUUAUUCCAAAAGAAGAUACGCUUUUCUACUCAAGAUCUCUCUAAAACUUGGAAAAAAAAUUUGAAAGACCAACGAAUCGAGAGAUGUACUGCUGCUCGUUCAGAUGCAACAGCAUCCAAGGAUCAUCCAAUCCGGAACGCGAUUUCAACAUCACACCAAAUACAAAUCACGAUGAAACAACCGUAGCGGGCAGAGACAUCGUAAAUCCGCAGCGACCAAUUUUCGCCGAUUCGUACAACCUCCCCCCCCCCCUCCCCCCUCUCUGGCUAAUAAUCCAGAUCUGAUUCGCGGCUCUGAUCGUAUCGUUGCGAAUCAACGCUCGUAUUCCAGGAUUAUAAGUGAGUAUUGUAUCUUAUAAAUUCAACGAAAAAUUUUUAUUUUUUAUUUUUAUUUUUUAUUUUUUUCGUUGCAGGAAGUUAAGAAUAAUUCGGUUUUGAUACGUUUUAUACGAAUAAUAUGAAAUGUAUCCAUUUGUCCAUUUCGACACACAGGAUUGAUUUUGAACGAUGGAAUGAUUAUUUAUUUAAA
rnacentral:lncRNA from 1 species